GGGGGGAGACAAAAAAAAAAAAGUUGGCGAGCUAACACGGCUUGGCUCACCUGACCUGCCAGUGAUCUUCUAGUCAAGAGAAACGACGACACAUACACACACAUAUAUACAUAUAUGUAUACUUACAAAAAAAAAAAAAAAACUUCCAUACAUACAAACAUACACUCUCUCACAAGCCUUUCUUUACUUCUUUCUUACUUUCUUUCUGUCGAGUAGAGGGGGACGGGGCGGGGAGGACAGCUGUAGCCUUGAAUGUUAUGGUAAUCAUUUCCAUAGCAAGACUUCUUCUCAUGUUAAUCAGUGACCCAGCAUGACACACCUCAGUCAGUUUAGCAAAUGAUUGCAAUAAAUACAGCCUGCCAGUCUGGAAGCCCAAGCCAGUAAGUAAAUACACCAUGGACCUGUGCCACCGCUAACUUCGCCAGCCAACCAACCACCAUUACCACCACCACCAUCAUCAUCAUCAUCAUCAACGUCGUCGUCGUCUCCACCGCCGCCACUACCAGUUUUAAUCUACAGUACUUGGUAGCUUCCUGCUCCACAUUUCUCAACAGAAUAAAACGUUAUAUAGUAAAAGAAAAGCAGUGCCCGUGAUUCUUUUGCAGGACCAUCAAAAUUGGUGGAAAGGCAGGAGCUAUCCUCAAACCAGCGACCUGACCCAAAUGCUUACAACAGAGGAACUAAUUAGCAAAUAUCCAAAGAAUCAAAAUUCAGCAACAACUUUUAAUGAAGUGUUAUCUUAAUUAUGCAGUUAAUAUUGACAGAGAUUCGUUGCAAAUAUAAAAAAAAAAAAAAAAGAUUUUCUUUCAAGUGAGUUUUCUUCAUACACUUAACAAUUUAGAUGUAGUAAAUUGAGUAAAAGAAUAACAUUGACUAAAUUAUAUUUUGUGAGGCUAAACCAAUGUCAUGUAUCUAAUUUCAACCAAAUAAAGUGCUUUCAUUUUUGCAAAA